CCUACGGGGGGCUGCAGUGGGGAAUAUUGGACAAUGGGCGAAAGCCUGAUCCAGCCAUGCCGCGUGUGUGAAGAAGGCCUUCGGGUUGUAAAGCACUUUCAGUGGGGAAGAAAGCCUUGGGGCUAAUACCCUCGAGGAAGGACAUCACCCACAGAAGAAGCACCGGCUAACUCCGUGCCAGCAGCCGCGGUAAUACGGAGGGUGCGAGCGUUAAUCGGAAUUACUGGGCGUAAAGCGCGCGUAGGCGGUCUGAUAAGCCGGUUGUGAAAGCCCCGGGCUCAACCUGGGAACGGCAUCCGGAACUGUCAGGCUAGAGUGCAGGAGAGGAAGGUAGAAUUCCCGGUGUAGCGGGGAAAUGCGUAGAGAUCGGGAGGAAUACCAGUGGCGAAGGCGGCCUUCUGGACUGACACUGACGCUGAGGUGCGAAAGCGUGGGUAGCAAACAGGAUUAGAUACCCUAGUAGUC
rnacentral:rRNA from 1 species